GACGAACGCUGGCGGCGUGCCUAAUACAUGCAAGUCGAGCGCAGGAAGCUGACGGAACUCUUCGGAGGGAAGGCAGUGGAAUGAGCGGCGGACGGGUGAGUAACACGUAAGGAACCUGCCUCAAGGAUUGGGAUAACUCCGAGAAAUCGGAGCUAAUACCGGAUAGUUCAACGGACCGCAUGGUCCGCUGAUGAAAGGCGCUUCGGCGUCACCUUGAGAUGGCCUUGCGGUGCAUUAGCUAGUUGGUGGGGUAACGGCCCACAAAGGCGACGAUGCAUAGCCGACCUGAGAGGGUGAUCGGCCACACUGGGACUGAGACACGGCCCAGACUCCUACGGGAGGCAGCAGUAGGGAAUCUUCCACAAUGGACGAAAGUCUGAUGGAGCAACGCUGCGUGAGUGAUGAAGGUUUUCGGAUCGUAAAACUCUGUUGUAAGGGAAGAACACGUACGAGAGGGAAUGCUCGUACCUUGACGGUACCUUACGAGAAAGCCACGGCUAACUACGUGCCAGCAGCCGCCGUAACAC
rnacentral:rRNA from 1 species